GCCCGGAAAGAGGGUUUCCGGGAGAGGACCUGACAGAGAGUUGUUGCUCAAGCCCAAUUCGAGCAAGCUCCGCAGGUUCUUGAGCUCCUCGGGGAUGGUCCCAGACAGCGAGUUGAAGCCAAGUUCCAGGGUAACAAGCGAUGAGAGGUUUCCGAGCUGAGCGGGGACUGGUCCGGCGAGGUUGUUGUUGGAGAGCUUCAAGGUCCUCAUGGUUGAGAGCGUGCCGAGCCCGGGGGGAAUCGGGCCGGUGAGCAGGUUUGAGGAGAGAUCGAGGUAGGUGAGGUUUCGGAGGGAGGAGAGGGUUGAAGGGACUGGUCCAGAGAGAGCAUUCCCCGAGAGAUCCAGAAGGGUGAGGUUGGAGAGCCCCUGGAGAGAGGAGGGCAAGCUCCCACUCAGGAGAUUCCCGGCGAGAUAGAGCUCGCGGAGGCCCC
rnacentral:lncRNA from 1 species